rnacentral:rRNA from 1 species
UUGUUAAGGAUCGGUCCUUAGCUUUGCUCCGUUACCUUUGCUUAGGAAUUUAACGGGGCGCAAGGUUACCUUAGCUUAACUUCGUUAGGGUUGACCUUACCUUUGGUUAGGUUGGUUCGUUAGCUUAGCUUAGGAUUGUUACUUAGCUUCGUUAACGGAACGCCCGUUACCUUUGCUUAGCUUGGCCUUACCUUUGCUUCGUUAGGUUGCUUAGCCGUUGGUUACAUUGCGCUUGGUUGCCUUUUUAGGCCAUCUUUUUUUUUUGUUUUCUGAGACUAAGU